rnacentral:lncRNA from 1 species
GCCCCAAUAAUAGAAAGUCAAAGAACCAAAGGCCGAACAUAGCCCAUGAUCAGUCGAGAAAGAUGACACUCUCUCCUGCAUUUACUGUUUCUUUGUCUGCUAUCCAUUCUGCGAAUGGAUUCUGGAUUUCUGGUUGUUCCUAUCAUUGUGUCUGUCCCCACAGGGAUUGGUUUCUCGAAGCUUUGAAGAGCUCGAUGGAGGAGUUGUUUCUAAUGGGAAAUGACAACCCCUGCCAAACAUGGGAAUUGGCACAAUCAUAUUGAAGAUGUUCAGUGGACCGUCAAGGUUCUUACGAUUUUCUCUAGGUACGUGAAUUUGAAGAAAAAGCUCAUUUCAUUAGGAAUAUUUUGAUUCGAAGGGGUACAAGAUAUCUUGAAAGGUGGAGUUCUGAAAGUUGUUCGUGGUGCUCGUGUUGUUCCUGAAGGGACUCGUAGAGGGAUCUCUAUUCCUGAUGGGAGUACUGUCACGGGGAAGAGUUGCUAUCCGCGCCAACAGUUCCGACGAUCAGACCUUUUCCAAAUUAUGGCAUAUGCGAGUGGGGCAUACUGAGAACAAGCUUUGCAAACUUUGGUACGUCAAGGAGUUCUGAAAGGAGCUAAUACUGGAAAACUUGAAUUCUGUGAAGCAUUGUGUGCUUGGCAAUCAGACACGGUGAAAAUUUGGCACAACAAUUCAUCAGACUUGAAGGCAUUCUGGAUUAUGUUCACGCUGAUAUUUGGGGGGCCUUCUAAAAAUGCUCUUUGCGAGGUUCACACGCUAUUUUGUAACCUUCGUUGAUGACUUUUCCAGAAGAGUUUGGGUAUACACGUGCGGCACAAGGGAUGAAGUCCGUGAAAUCUUCCAUCUUCUUGAAAUGGAAGAAGAUGAUCGAAACCCAGACUGUAAAAGAUCAAGAAGCUUCAGAUCUGAUAAUGGUGGAGAAUAUCGGUCAAUCCUUUCUUCGAUGUUUGUUACAAAGAUGGAUUGUCAGACACUUUACUAUUAAAGGCACAACCGCAACAGAAUGGAGUUGCGGAAGGAUGAACCGCACCUUGUAAGAUAAGUUCGAUGUAUGAUUGUUGCAAUGCUGUUUGAGCAAAGCCAUUUUUGGGCAGAAGCAAUAACUAUGUCCGCACGACCUCAUCAAAGACUUCCGUCCAAAGCUCUUGAAGGAAAAACUCCUAAAUGGAGGUAUGUCAUGAAAAUGUGUUUCUGAUUAUGAUAGUCUGGCACAUAUUUGGAUGUCCUGCAUACUUUCAUGUAAAAGAAGAUAAGUUAGAUCGCCAAGCUAAGAACGCUAUCUUUGUAGCUUUAGCACUGGUUAAAAGGAUCCAGACUAUGGUGUCCGAAACGAAGACAAUUUGGUUGAACAGUCGGGAUGUCACACUUCGAUGAGUCUGUGAUGUCCUGAAGAAUUCUGAGAAGAAAAUCUGAGUCCAUAUCCACCCAGCAGUGAGUUGUGAUUCCUGAGUGCCGACUACAACUGUUCAGCAUGUUAUAUUCCUGACGGAGGAAUCUGAUGAUAUCGACACUACACCAGAUUUGAAAGAGGCUUAAUCUUCACAACCAGCAGAAUCUAAAUCGCUACGAUUAGGCCACACGAGUGAUCGUAGACCUUCUCGAUAUACUGAGUACUUUGGCAUAUUUUUGCCGCUUCCAUUGAUUGAGGGAGUCCCAUAUACUUACAAAGAAUGCCCGUGCAGGGACUGAAAAUCCAAAAUGGAAGAGGGCCAUGGAUGAAAAAUGAGUCGCUUCACAAGAAUCAGACUUGGGAGUUGUCCAGCUGCCCAAAUGGAAAGAAAUCGAUCGGUUGCAAUUUGAUAUCUUGCAAUAAGGCAAGAUACUCAAGGAAUCAGAUUCAAAGCUAGAUUGGUGGCUAAGGCUAACGCUCAGAAAGAAGAAUAACUACAACGAGGUAUUUUUCUCCUGUUGUAAACGCUUCCGUGCUAUGUAUUUUGCUAGCGUUGUUUGCUCAAUUUUGAUCUUGAGUUAGCUCAACUCGAUGUAAAAACUUCUUUUCUCCAGGAGAUUUGAAGAAAGAGAUUUACAUGUCACAGCCAGAUGGGUUCAAGGUGCCUGGAAAAGAACCUUUUUGCGUGUCGCUUAAAGAAAUCUUUGUAUGGCUUGAAGUAGUCGCCAAACAGUGGUAUAAACGAGGUUUGAUUUGUUCAUGGACGAGCAUGGGUAUACACGAAGUCAGUUUGAUCAUUGUGUAUUUUGCUCAAACUCCAAGACGGUUCCAUGAUUUAUUGCUCUUAUAUGUGGAUGAUAUUUGAUCGCUCUAAGAGCAAGGUGGAGAUGACCGAUUGAAGACAUUCCACUCAAGUCGGGAUUUGAAAAUGAGGAUCUUGCGAAGCCAAGAAAAUUUUGGGUAUGGAGAUUCAGAUGGACAAGCGUGAAAGGCACAUUUUGGUUGAAAUCAUCUCAUUAUUGAAAAAGGUUACACAGAGAUUCUUUGGAAUGAUAAAUCAACCAAACCUGAAGUACACCAUUGGCCUCCUCACCUUCAGAUUAAGUGCUU